UAAAACACUCACCCUCGUCGCCAUCUUGGAGGGCAGUCCAAAUGAUUAUCCAAGCAAGGGAAGUUUGCAACGUAAUCCCCCCAGCCCUGGAAGGUGGAGCGGCGGACCUUUGUGGGAAAAUGUUGUCAUCAAAGUCUGGCAUUCUCUGGAUUUAUGGUGCUUUCAAGACAACUGGGAACUUCUAAAAAAAACAAGGUCGAAUCAUGAUGACGUCAUUGAUCUUCAGGUCGCAGCUCUAGAAAGAGGCUGGAUUUACAAUUCCGAGUUAGAUGACGUUCAAAACGUAUUUUCUCAGUCGGAGCUCGUUUAUUCCCGACUCCCAGUGUUCUUGAACUCACUGAAGUCAAGUUUUCGCAGUUAACAGUUGUUUUGAGUGCGGCACAAAUCAUGCUUCAUUGACAGCAUGGCCAAUGUUGAAAGUUUAUCAUUUUAAAUUUGGAAAAGAUCCCCUUAAUUCCAGAUUUGGGACCACACAGUAACUCCACUGAAUAGUAGGCUAGUGAUUGCUUUGCAAUGCUUGCAGUUAGCCACUGUCACUGAUUCCUUCCAAAACCACUCAUUGUUGAAUUUGCGAUUUCCAACUUGUUGUGUAAUGUUUAUGUCCAAUGGCCAAAGAGCACCCAUACGUUUUAUCUAUAAUUUCUCUUCAUUAUUUCUCUUCAUAUGACAAGGAUUAAAAUGGAUUUUCCAACUAAGAUUUUGAAAAUAUGAUGUUGACAUGAUCAGUCCAAUCAAAGCUACUCUACAUAUAACGUGGUUUGACGUGGUUUUAUCUGUGGCCAAUGACCUUGAGCCUUCUUGGAUGGGCACUUCUAAUGUAACUCUAUGGCAGCACACAAGGGGCUAGAAUUUUCUAGCACUACCCUUAGACUUGGUGGUGACCUAGUGUCCCCAUGAGUGACAGAACAUGGGGCCAACCACGGCGCUUCGUAUAUUCUGCUGGCUUGCCCCACAACCACAGAAAGCAUUGAGCUAGGCUGAAACACCUGCAUUUUGGAACUGCCUUACUCAAGAAAAUAAAAGAGACCAUGUUUGUA